UACGAAGGGGCUAGCGUUGCUCGGAAUCACUGGGCGUAAAGGGUGCGUAGGCGGGUCUUUAAGUCAGGGGUGAAAUCCUGGAGCUCAACUCCAGAACUGCCUUUGAUACUGAAGAUCUUGAGUUCGGGAGAGGUGAGUGGAACUGCGAGUGUAGAGGUGAAAUUCGUAGAUAUUCGCAAGAACACCAGUGGCGAAGGCGGCUCACUGGCCCGAUACUGACGCUGAGGCACGAAAGCGUGGGGAGCAAACAGGAUUAAGAAACCGUGAGUAGUCCGAGAACCA
rnacentral:rRNA from 1 species